rnacentral:rRNA from 1 species
UAGCGAAACUGCGAAUGGCUCAUUAAAUCAGUUAUCGUUUAUUUGAUAGUACCUUACUACAUGGAUAACCGUGGUAAUUCUAGAGCUAAUACAUGCUAAAAACCCCAACUUCGGGAGGGGUGUAUUUAUUAGAUAAAAAACCAAUGCCCUUCGGGGCUCUUUGGUGAUUCAUGAUAACUUCUCAGAUCGCAUGGCCUUGCGCCGGCGACGGUUCAUUCAAAUUUCUGCCCUAUCAACUUUCGAUGGUAAGGUAUUGGCUUACCAUGGUUUCAACGGGUAACGGGGAAUUAGGGUUCGAUUCCGGAGAGGGAGCCUGAGAAACGGCUACCACAUCCAAGGAAGGCAGCAGGCGCGCAAAUUACCCAAUCCCGACACGGGGAGGUAGUGACAAUAAAUACUGAUACAGGGCUCUUUUGGGUCUUGUAAUUGGAAUGAGUACAAUUUAAACCUCUUAACGAGGAACAAUUGGAGGGCAAGUCUGGUGCCAGCAGCCGCGGUAAUUCCAGCUCCAAUAGCGUAUAUUAAAGUUGUUGCAGUUAAAAAGCUCGUAGUUGAACCUUUGGCCUGGCUGGCAGGUCCGCCUCACCGCGUGCACUUGUCCGGCCGGGCCUUCUUUUCUGGAGAACCGCAUGCCCUUCACUGGGUGUGCUGGGGACCAGGACUUUUACUUUGAAAAAAUUAGAGUGUUCAAAGCAGGCCUUUGCUCGAAUACGUUAGCAUGGAAUAAUAGAAUAGGACGUGCGGUCCUAUUUUGUUGGUUUCUAGGACCGCCGUAAUGAUUAAUAGGGACAGUCGGGGGCAUCAGUAUUCAAUUGUCAGAGGUGAAAUUCUUGGGAUUUAUUGAAGACUAACUACUGCGAAAGCAUUUGCUCAAGGAUG